rnacentral:rRNA from 1 species
GACGAACGCUGGCGGCGCGCUUAACACAUGCAAGUCGAGCGAAGCGGCGGACGGGAGAGUAACACGUUAGUAACCUGCCUUAGACAUUGGGAUAGCCUCGGGAAACCGGGAUUACUACCAACUGGUCUAAGAUGGAUUCGCGUCCCAUUAGCUAGUUGGUGGGUAACGGCCCACCAAGGCGACGAUGGGUAGCCGGCCUGAGAAGAUGAACGGGAACAUUGGAACUGAGAGACGGUCAAAACUCUACGGGGGGAAGCAGGGGGGAAUAUUGAACAAUGGAGGGAACUCUGAUGCAGCGGCGCCGCGUGGACGAAGAAGGCGUUCGAAGCGUAAAGUUCUUUUAUAUGGGAAGCGGUACCAGAAGAAAAAGCCCCGGCUAACUACGUGCCAGCAGCCGCGGUAAUUC